AGGCACUCGUUACUUUUGGUUUCGUUCGCAUUAGAGCGUGCGGUUACGUGCGUGGUGGCACCACGCGCAGCAAAGAAGACCGAAGUGGCCACAGUGCCACAGCAGUUUCACUCGUGCAGUUGAUUCGAUUCCUCCGCCACAGCCGCAACCUUUUCAGCCACCCCCGAAAGAAAGGAAAAACCGAAAUGUACGGUGCGGAUACAUUACCUAAGUCACACAGCAGUGGGUUUCCCCCCGAAAAUUGGCGAACGGAUUAGGCGCAGUGUGUUUUUGAAGACGAAAAAGCACUCUUUCAAGCUGUUUCAAGCACCACAGUUCAUUGACACUUUCAUUCCGUCCGGUUUGGACGCUACAAUGUUGCUUGUAUGUUCGAUCAAGUUGGCACUGCCACCUGUUAGCAAACUUUCAUUUGCAGACUCACCUCCAACCUCUAGGCUAACGUCAUCGCAGUAGCCACUUUUAAACCGGCACACACACACACGCGCGUCUAGUAGCGAGUUCUCGACUUGAUCAACACUUUGAACGGCCGGUACUUGUUCACAAACACAGUCCGGUGCACAAACACCGGAUACGGUCGGUCCACAUUGAAGACGAUCGGUUUCGGCACGUGUAUCACUUCCUUCUCGUGGACGGGCACUUUCACCGGGACGGGCACUUCGUACGGUCGGUCGACGGGCACCUCCACCUGCUUUUCCACGAUCACCGGAACCUUCUUCUCGAUAAACACCGGAACCUUCCGCUCGAUGUGCACCGGGUACGGGACGGCUAUCGUAACCGGCGGCGGUCCGUAGUGUUUGCCUUUCUUCUUGCUCUUCCCGUACCCGUCCGGUAGCUUCUGCUGGAUGCCGAGUUGUGCCAGCAGGUUGGCGUUAUUGAAAGCAUCUUCGAAUCGUUAUCGUCGUGCGGGUUGGUGGCACCGUGAUGGAUCGUCUCACCUGUUCCGUAGUGCUGCUCGUCGUCAUCUUCCUCGUAGCUACCGUCGGACUCGUAGUAUCCCUCUUCUGCAUCGUAAGCUUUGGCGGUGUGUCUUCGGGGAACUCCCUGGACGGUGGGUGUUAGCUGACAGCAUAGCAGCACUAGUAACAGGGCUAGUAGACAGCAGCGACUUAGCAGCAUUUCUUGGCUAAACUUCCACCGACGCUUUGGUAAUCCAUCGAGGCCCAGUAUUGCUAUGCUUUGGAGUAAAAGUAAGAAACAGAUCUGCCGACAGACCGUUCAAUCAGAAGCGGAAGGGACGUUGCUACGUAAGAUCUUCAGUACCAGUAUCCAACAACGAGCACUGCUCGGUACUUACUUCCAUGUUCGAACUUUUCCAAGGGUGGUCCACAGCAACCCUCCACAGCAACGUCCAGCCACCGGAACUGAUCAUACAGCACUGACCGGGCCCAUCUUCAGUUCGGAUACUUUUAUAACUUCUUUCAGCGCGCUCGGUGUGACCGGAUCCGGACAAACAACCGUUCCAUUACGUCCACCAGCAACACACACCAAAUCAGACUCCAUUUCCGAAGUCUGGUCCGCCCCUUGAUCCACAGUCCACACGGUGGGAGGGGAGAAACCAUUGCGCCGCUUGAUGCUCCAAAGAAGAUACGCAAGAUGCCAAGAUGCCAAACAUUUGCAUCUCGCACACGUCUAUUGCUUCAAAAUCAUACGCCACACUGCGUGCGGCCUGCCUUUACCACGCCGCUAGAGCUUGGCUACGGGGCACACAUCAGCCAGAUGAACUUUCUCAUCAUAGACGGACAGCUGUGGCGCUGUGGCUAGAGCGGACGGCUUGAUGCUGUGAAUACAUUGUUACAUCAUCCCGACUAUGGCCAGCAUCGGGUCAGAGCAUCGAACGAUAGACAUCCAAACACGUCUCGGGAGCCCCCUGUACUGCCCUGCUCGCUGUAGGAUUUAUGAGCUUCGAGACCAUGUCCAUGCUGUUAUUUGAACACGAAGGUUACGCGAGUACGGGUAGACCUUUGCAGAUGAUUACGAUCUUAUCUUUGAGAGCAAUUCAAACUCAAACAAGUCUAAUACGUUCUGAUGGUUACUACUAGUUACUAGAUCUGAUGAACUAGUUACUAUUCUGAUGGGAAUCGAAUCCUGCCUUAGUUUGAGAGAAACUGCCCUGCUACAUUAGGCAAUCAAACCUACUUGAAAGUAAAAUUAUAAUUCAUUUAGUACACAUUGCAUUUAAAAAAUUAAAAUGUUAAGAUUUGAUGAUAUUACGCUUUUACCACAUUUCUGCAUUCAAAUUUGGGCAGCUUGUCGUGCCACCGUAAUUCCACUACAUUUGAUUUUAAUCCAAAAGAUUAUGUAUACUUUC